rnacentral:rRNA from 1 species
UACGUAGGGGGCAAGCGUUGUCCGGAAUCAUUGGGCGUAAAGAGCGUGUAGGCGGCCCGGUAAGUCCGCUGUGAAAGUCCGGGGCUCAACCCUGGGAUGCCGGUGGAUACUGUCGGGCUCGAGUCCGGAAGAGGAGUGUGGAAUUCCUGGUGUAGCGGUGAAAUGCGCAGAUAUCAGGAGGAACACCAAUGGCGAAGGCAGCACUCUGGGACGUGACUGACGCUGAGACGCGAAAGCGUGGGGAGCAAACAGG